UGGCGUCCGUGAAACCCAGGGGACAUUUCUUCGAGUGGCAGAGAGUAUUCUCUUCUCUACUUCGUUCUGAUUUGGGACCAGAAACCUGUCCGGACGCAUCUGACCAAACUCUAAAGGCCUGGAGCUCUAUGGAUCGGAUUAACCUACUCUGGCUUUUCAUCCAUGGAAGAGGACAACUUACUUUCACACCGCGGGACUUAAAUCCUUGGGGAUUAUCGAUUUGGUUAUCUUUUAUUCGCCCCAGCGCUGAGCAUACAGUGAGCUCUUCUUCACCGGUUCCAGGUAUUGGUUUGUCUCUGCUUUCACCCCCUUGGAAUAUUCCGUCUCUAUUCCCAGGAGGCCCGAGGAAUGUAAUCUUAGAUGCAGACUCAUCUCCAUCAGCCCACCCAGCCCCUUUCAAAAUACGUUUGGAUGUCGUCUUUACUACGAGCUACUCGGUUCUCACUGAAAUCUACAUGGGAAGAGUGUCUGGCAAAACAAAACAAAAAAAUGAUCUUUCCUUGGUUCCCUUAAACAUGUUCCUUGGCGUUUCCUCGAGUUACGGCGUUGGAGAGUAUCUAGGUGCCGUGCAUCGUGGAUCUGUGGGAGAUGAGCCCUUUUGCAUUUUUAUAGGUAUUAAAGAAGAGUAAUGUAUCCUUCCUGUCCCUAUUUAAGGGAAAACAACUGAGCUCACGCCAUCCUCCACUGUUUCCACUUCAUCCAUUAAUAUUCAUACGAUUCAAGCGCUUAGUACAGUGCUCUGCACACAGUAAGCGCACAGUAAAUACGAUUGAAUGAAUAGGAUGCAAAGCACGAACGACCCAAGAGCUUUACAGAGGAAGACGAUUGUGCUAAAGGCUGGAGGUAUCGGGGAGAGAUACUGGGGUGUGAUGUUUAUUGCUGGAUGUAGAUGUCUUGGCCUUCUCUUUACAUCCUCUUUCUCUUCCUCCUCCCCCUUCCUCCCCUUUUCCUCCUCCUUCUCCCGUUCCCUAUCCUCUUCCGCCUUGCUUCUUGUCUUGUCUUAGGCCGUCGAGUCGCUUCCCACCCAUAGCGCCGCCGUGGCCACAUCUCUGCCAGAACGGCCCGCUCUCCACCUGCAGUCGUUCUGGUAGUGGAUCCAGAGAGUUUUCUUGGUCAAAAUCCGAAAGCGGUUUACCGCUGCACAGUAAACCCGAGUCUCCGUCCUCGACUCUCUCCCGCGACGCGGCUGCCCGGCGCAGGUGCGUUUUGACUUGCAGCCGAUGGCCUUCCGCUAGCCGCCGCCCAAACUGGGAACGGAAUGGACGGGCCUCUGCUGGACUCUCCCUCCCGUAGCCGAGACUGGUAAAGUACUGGAAACUCUCCAGGUGUGGCCCCGAGAGUUGAUAGACGUGUUCCCUGCCCAUAAUGAGCUUACGGUCCGGAGGGAGAGACAGAUACGGAUAUAAAGAAAUCGAUUAGCGCUAUGUCCGAAAGUUCUGUGGGGCUGAAGGAGGGGGGAAUAAAAAGUGUAAAUCCAAGUGCGAAGGCGACUCUGAAGGGAGUGGGAGAAGAGGAAAAGAUAAUAAUAAUAAUAAUAAUGUUGGUAUUUGUUAAGCGCUUACUAUGUGCCGAGCACUGUUCUAAGCGCUGGGGUAGACACAGGGGAAUCAGGAUGUCCCAUGUGGGGCUCACAGUCUUAAUCCCCAUUUUACAGAUGAGGUAACUGAGGCACCGAGAAGUUAAGUGACUUGCCCAAAGUCACACAGCUGACGAGUGGUAGAGCCAGG
rnacentral:lncRNA from 1 species